rnacentral:rRNA from 1 species
GACGAACGCUGGCGGCGUGCUUAACACAUGCAAGUCGAACGAUGAAACCUAGCUUGCUAGGUCGAUUAGUGGCGAACGGGUGAGUAACACGUGACUAACCUGCCCCUUUCUCUGGGAUAACGCUCCGAAAGGAGUGCUAAUACCGGAUACUCACACCGAGGCACAUGCCUUGGUGUGGAAAGUUUUUCGGAAAGGGAUGGAGUCGCGGCCUAUCAGCUUGUUGGUGAGGUAACGGCUCACCAAGGCGAGGACGGGUAGCCGGCCUGAGAGGGCGACCGGCCACACUGGGACUGAGACACGGCCCAGACUCCUACGGGAGGCAGCAGUGGGGAAUAUUGCACAAUGGGCGCAAGCCUGAUGCAGCGACGCCGCGUGAGGGAUGAAGGUCUUCGGAUUGUAAACCUCUUUCAGUAGGGACGAAGCGAAAGUGACGGUACCUAAAGAAGAAGCACCGGCUAACUACGUGCCAGCCGCCGCAGUAA